rnacentral:rRNA from 1 species
CCUACGGGUGGCAGCAGUGAGGAAUAUUGGUCAAUGGACGAGAGUCUGAACCAGCCAAGUAGCGUGAAGGAUGACUGCCCUAUGGGUUGUAAACUUCUUUUAUAAAGGAAUAAAACGAGGCACGUGUGCCUUUUUGCAUGUCCUUUAUGAAUCCGGCUCGGCUAACUCCGUGCCAGCAGCCGCGGUCAUCCGGAGGAUCCGAGCGUUAUCCGGAUUUAUUGGGUUUAAAGGGAGAGUAGAUGGGUUGGUAAGUCAGGUGUGAAAGUUUGCGGCUCAACCGUACAAUUGCAAUUGAUACUGGCAGUCUGGAGUACAGUUGAGGUAGGUGGAAUUCGUGGUGUAGCGGUGAAAUGCGUAGAUAUUACGAAGAACCCCGGUUGCGAAGGCAGCUUACUAGACUGUGACUGACAUUGAUGCUCGAAAGUGUGGGUAGCAAACAGGAUUAGAUACCCGAGUAGUC